rnacentral:lncRNA from 1 species
UAAAGAUUCUGAGGUUUUGUAAGGUUUUGUGCACAGACCUGGGACCAGUGAGGUGAAAGAGGAGGUGUUCAGCAGACUUAUUUCCUGUACCUUCACCAGUUGAGGGUCUCUGUAAUCACCAUCUACUACAGACAUGUAACUGCUCUGAUAAAGGCACGAAUCUGUGGGCCACACAACUAAGAGUAUGUGAGCAGCACAAGCAGGACUUGAUGACUUUAGUGGGGCAGAUGGAGCAGAUGCACAAAGUUGGACAGGAAGGGGAAGUGGCUCUGGGAAUGAUUGGGGGGGGGGGUGAAUAUGAUCAAAAUACACCAUGUGAAAUUCUCAGAGAAUUACAGAGCCUUUAUGUAAGGAAGUUAAAGGAGGCAGACGUGGCUCUCAUUUAAGAAAGCCUUACCUAGGAAAGAAGCAUCUCAUGGCUGAAGUGUGGGACUUCCUGUCUUCAGAAAUAGCAAGAACUGCUAAGUCCUGUUGGCACAUUCCUUUAAUCGCAGCACUAGGGAGGUAGAGACAGGGGGAUCACCAAGUUUAAAGCCAGUCUAGUCUAUAGAGUGAGUUCUAGGACGGCCAUAAUGACACAGAAAAAAACAAAAA